rnacentral:rRNA from 1 species
UACGUAGGUGGCAAGCGUUGUCCGGAUUUACUGGGUGUAAAGGGCGUGCAGCCGGGUCGGCAAGUCAGGUGUGAAAACUAUGGGCUCAACCCAUAACGUGCAUUUGAAACUGUUGAUCUUGAGUACCGGAGGGGCAAUCGGAAUUCCUAGUGUAGCGGUGAAAUGCGUAGAUAUUAGGAGGAACACCAGUGGCGAAGGCGAAUUGCUGGACGGCAACUGACGGUGAGGCGCGAAAGCGUGGGGAGCAAAC